rnacentral:rRNA from 1 species
UACGUAGGGCGCAAGCGUUGUCCGGAAUUAUUGGGCGUAAAGAGCUCGUAGGCGGCCUGUUACGUCUGCUGUGAAAUCCCGGGGCUUAACCCCGGGCGUGCAGUGGAUACGCGCAGGCUGGAGGCAGGCAGGGGAGAACGGAAUUCCCGGUGUAGCGGUGAAAUGCGCAGAUAUCGGAAGGAACACCUGUGGCGAAAGCGGCUCACUGGACCAUUACUGACGCUGAUGCACGAAAGCUAGGGGAGCAAACAGG